UACAGAGGUCUCGAGCGUUGUUCGGAUUCAUUGGGCGUAAAGGGCGCGUAGGCGGCUUGCCAAGUCAGGGGUGAAAUCUUUCGGCUCAACCGGAAAAGUGCUUCUGAUACUGGCGGGCUGGAGGGGGGUAGGGGCAGAUGGAACUUCCGGUGGAGCGGUGAAAUGCGUAGAUAUCGGAAGGAACGCCGGUGGCGAAAGCGAUCUGCUGGACCCUUUCUGACGCUGAGGCGCGAAAGCCAGGGGAGCAAACGGG
rnacentral:rRNA from 1 species